rnacentral:rRNA from 1 species
UACGUAGGGUACGAGCGUUGUCCGGAAUUAUUGGGCGUAAAGAGCUCGUAGGCGGUUCGUCGCGUCUGCUGUGGAAACGCAAGGCUCAACCUUGCGCGUGCAGUGGGUACGGGCGGACUAGAGUGCAGUAGGGGAGUCUGGAAUUCCUGGUGUAGCGGUGAAAUGCGCAGAUAUCAGGAGGAACACCGGUGGCGAAGGCGGGACUCUGGGCUGUAACUGACGCUGAGGUUCGAAAGCGUGGGGAGCGAACAGG